rnacentral:lncRNA from 1 species
UUGGAUGAAAUGUCAGUUUUUUACCUUAAUCUGAAUUUUUAUUCUGUUAGCUACUUUUGCCUUAAUAGAAAGGAAUCAGUAUGAACAAUUUUCUGCUCUUUGUUCCUUCUUGACUAGAGUACAUAAUUGGAGAACAUGCUGAUCACUGUAUUAUGGUAGUACUGUGGAUUGUUGAAUUAAUAGGAAGAUGUGGCUCCAUGGUUUGAUUUGAAGCCUCUGUGUGUCAGAAUUAGUUAGUCUGCCU